UUAUAAGCCGCUUUGGGACUGCAGGUGGGAGAGAUUCAUCUGGACCUCAGGGCCAGGCAGGACCAGAGAAAAAUUCAACUAUACCCAGCACUGCCCCAUCAGGUCACCCUUGCUGCUUCAACCCUGAAGAAAUUAUUCCUUGUUGGUGCCACCUUCGCACAUGCUCUGAGGGCACAGAGUCUCCUCCUUGUACGGUCUGAGGGUGCUGAGCCAUCUCCUCACACAAAUACCUGAGGCUGGUGCUCUGAGAAGAAAAGAGGCUCAUUCAGCUUACAGCUCUUCAGGUUCGGGAGCAAGAUGGCUCAACACCGGCAGAUGGGAUUCAGGAGAGGUGAGGAAGAAGCGGUCUUCUGAAAAACGCAGCCUUCCUACAAGGCCCCACCUCUUCUAGGUCCCACCACCUGCCGGCAUCACAAACCAAGCUCCCAGCACGCAGUCAGACCUUUGAGGGACAAGCUACACCAACCACAGCUGGGCCAGUAAGCAGAGGAAGGAAAAUGCUGCUCUUGUCCAAGACUCUCCUCUGAGCCAAGUGACCACUGUCUCCAGGCGGUCUGCACUAUCGGCUUGCAGGAGAUCACCUCCCUGGGCUUGUGGACUGUCCGUGUUCCCUCACAGAAAGCGAAGGGAAGCCAUCAGCCGCAAUGGGUGCAGACUCUGCAGUGAUAAUCUGAGCCUCACCCAUGCCCUACAGCCCAUCUUCUCCUAACAAUAGAAAAAAUUAACUACUCAAGCCAACAAAAUAGCUCAGUGGAUAAAGGUGCUUGCUGCCAAGCCUGACAACUGGAGUUCGAUCCCUGGGACCCACAUGAUGA